ACGGCUAUCUGGCACUGCCCGCC
rnacentral:miRNA from 1 species